CAGCUUUAAUGCACUUGUCGCCAUCAGAACUCCGCAGUUAAGCGUGCUUGGGCGAGAGCAGUAGUAAGAGGGUGACCUCUUGGGAAGUCCUCGUGUUGCACCCCCUCCUUUU
rnacentral:rRNA from 1 species